CAACGCUGGCGGCGUGCCUAAUACAUGCAAGUCGAGCGGAAUGAUGAAGAAGCUUGCUUCUUCUGAUUUUAGCGGCGGACGGGUGAGUAACACGUGGGCAACCUACCUUGUAGAUUGGGAUAACUCCGGGAAACCGGGGCUAAUACCGAAUAAUCCAUUUUGCUUCAUGGCGAGAUGUUGAAAGACGGUUUCGGCUGUCACUAUAAGAUGGGCCCGCGGCGCAUUAGCUAGUUGGUAGGGUAAUGGCCUACCAAGGCGACGAUGCGUAGCCGACCUGAGAGGGUGAUCGGCCACACUGGGACUGAGACACGGCCCAGACUCCUACGGGAGGCAGCAGUAGGGAAUCUUCCACAAUGGACGAAAGUCUGAUGGAGCAACGCCGCGUGAGUGAAGAAGGUUUUCGGAUCGUAAAACUCUGUUGUAAGGGAAGAACACGUACGAGAGUAACUGCUCGUACCUUGACGGUACCUUAUUAGAAAGCCACGGCUAACUACGUG
rnacentral:rRNA from 1 species